rnacentral:rRNA from 3 species
UUAAGCGACUAAGCGUACACGGUGGAUGCCCUGGCAGUCAGAGGCGAUGAAGGACGUGCUAAUCUGCGAAAAGCGUCGGUAAGGUGAUAUGAACCGUUAUAACCGGCGAUGUCCGAAUGGGGAAACCCAGUGCAAUUCGUUGCACUAUCGUUAACUGAAUACAUAGGUUAACGAGGCGAACCGGGGGAACUGAAACAUCUAAGUACCCCGAGGAAAAGAAAUCAACCGAGAUUCCCCCAGUAGCGGCGAGCGAACGGGGAGCAGCCCAGAGUCUGAAUCAGCUUGUGUGUUAGUGGAACGGUCUGGAAAGUCCGACGGUACAGGGUGAUAGUCCCGUACACCAAAAUGCACAGGCUGUGAACUCGAAGAGUAGGGCGGGACACGUGGUAUCCUGUCUGAAUAUGGGGGGACCAUCCUCCAAGGCUAAAUACUCCUGACUGACCGAUAGUGAACCAGUACCGUGAGGGAAAGGCGAAAAGAACCCCGGCGAGGGGAGUGAAAAAGAACCUGAAACCGUGUACGUACAAGCAGUGGGAGCACCUUCGGGUGUGACUGCGUACCUUUUGUAUAAUGGGUCAGCGACUUAUAUUCUGUAGCAAGGUUAACCGUAUAGGGGAGCCGCAGGGAAACCGAGUCUUAACUGGGCGUUAAGUUGCAGGGUAUAGACCCGAAACCCGGUGAUCUAGCCAUGGGCAGGUUGAAGGUUGGGUAACACUAACUGGAGGACCGAACCGACUAAUGUUGAAAAAUUAGCGGAUGACUUGUGGCUGGGGGUGAAAGGCCAAUCAAACCGGGAGAUAGCUGGUUCUCCCCGAAAGCUAUUUAGGUAGCGCCUCGUGAAUUCAUCUUCGGGGGUAGAGCACUGUUUCGGCUAGGGGGUCAUCCCGACUUACCAACCCGAUGCAAACUACGAAUACCGAAGAAUGUUAUCACGGGAGACACACGGCGGGUGCUAACGUCCGUCGUGAAGAGGGAAACAACCCAGACCGCCAGCUAAGGUCCCAAAGUCAUGGUUAAGUGGGAAACGAUGUGGGAAGGCACAGACAGCCAGGAUGUUGGCUUAGAAGCAGCCAUCAUUUAAAGAAAGCGUAAUAGCUCACUGGUCGAGUCGGCCUGCGCGGAAGAUGUAACGGGGCUAAACCAUGCACCGAAGCUGCGGCAGCGACACUAUGUGUUGUUGGGUAGGGGAGCGUUCUGUAAGCCUGCGAAGGUGACCUGUGAGGGUUGCUGGAGGUAUCAGAAGUGCGAAUGCUGACAUAAGUAACGAUAAAGCGGGUGAAAAGCCCGCUCGCCGGAAGACCAAGGGUUCCUGUCCAACGUUAAUCGGGGCAGGGUGAGUCGACCCCUAAGGCGAGGCCGAAAGGCGUAGUCGAUGGGAAACAGGUUAAUAUUCCUGUACUUGGUGUUACUGCGAAGGGGGGACGGAGAAGGCUAUGUUAGCCGGGCGACGGUUGUCCCGGUUUAAGCAUGUAGGCUGGUUAUCCAGGCAAAUCCGGAUAAUCAAGGCUGAGGUGUGAUGACGAGGCACUACGGUGCUGAAGUAACAAAUGCCCUGCUUCCAGGAAAAGCCUCUAAGCAUCAGGUAACAUCAAAUCGUACCCCAAACCGACACAGGUGGUCAGGUAGAGAAUACCAAGGCGCUUGAGAGAACUCGGGUGAAGGAACUAGGCAAAAUGGUGCCGUAACUUCGGGAGAAGGCACGCUGGUGUGUAGGUGAAGUCCCUGCGGAUGGAGCUGAGACCAGUCGAAGAUACCAGCUGGCUGCAACUGUUUAUUAAAAACACAGCACUGUGCAAACACGAAAGUGGACGUAUACGGUGUGACGCCUGCCCGGUGCCGGAAGGUUAAUUGAUGGGGUUAUCCGUAAGGAGAAGCUCUUGAUCGAAGCCCCGGUAAACGGCGGCCGUAACUAUAACGGUCCUAAGGUAGCGAAAUUCCUUGUCGGGUAAGUUCCGACCUGCACGAAUGGCGUAAUGAUGGCCAGGCUGUCUCCACCCGAGACUCAGUGAAAUUGAACUCGCUGUGAAGAUGCAGUGUACCCGCGGCAAGACGGAAAGACCCCGUGAACCUUUACUAUAGCUUGACACUGAACAUUGAGCCUUGAUGUGUAGGAUAGGUGGGAGGCUUUGAAGCGUGGACGCCAGUCUGCGUGGAGCCAACCUUGAAAUACCACCCUUUAAUGUUUGAUGUUCUAACGUUGGCCCCUUACCGGGGUUGCGGACAGUGUCUGGUGGGUAGUUUGACUGGGGCGGUCUCCUCCCAAAGCGUAACGGAGGAGCACGAAGGUUAGCUAAUCCUGGUCGGACAUCAGGAGGUUAGUGCAAUGGCAUAAGCUAGCUUGACUGCGAGCGUGACGGCGCGAGCAGGUGCGAAAGCAGGUCAUAGUGAUCCGGUGGUUCUGAAUGGAAGGGCCAUCGCUCAACGGAUAAAAGGUACUCCGGGGAUAACAGGCUGAUACCGCCCAAGAGUUCAUAUCGACGGCGGUGUUUGGCACCUCGAUGUCGGCUCAUCACAUCCUGGGGCUGAAGUAGGUCCCAAGGGUAUGGCUGUUCGCCAUUUAAAGUGGUACGCGAGCUGGGUUUAGAACGUCGUGAGACAGUUCGGUCCCUAUCUGCCGUGGGCGCUGGAGAAUUGAGGGGGGCUGCUCCUAGUACGAGAGGACCGGAGUGGACGCAUCACUGGUGUUCGGGUUGUCAUGCCAAUGGCACUGCCCGGUAGCUAAAUGCGGAAGAGAUAAGUGCUGAAAGCAUCUAAGCACGAAACUUGCCCCGAGAUGAGUUCUCCCUGAGACUUUAAGUCUCCUGAAGGAACGUUAAAGACGAUGACGUUGAUAGGCCGGGUGUGUAAGCGCAGCGAUGCGUUGAGCUAACCGGUACUAAUGAACCGUGAGGCUUAACCUU